rnacentral:rRNA from 1 species
AGCAGUAGCCGCGGUAAUACGAAGGGUGCAAGCGUUAAUCGGAAUUACUGGGCGUAAAGCGUGCGUAGGCGGUUUGUUAAGUCUGCUGUGAAAUCCCCGGGCUCAACCUGGGAAUGGCAGUGGAUACUGGCAAGCUAGAGUGUGUCAGAGGAUGGUGGAAUUCCCGGUGUAGCGGUGAAAUGCGUAGAGAUCGGGAGGAACAUCAGUGGCGAAGGCGGCCAUCUGGGACAACACUGACGCUGAGGCACGAAAGCGUGGGGAGCAAACAGGAUUAGAUACCCGAGUAGUCCCUGUCUCUUAUAC